rnacentral:rRNA from 1 species
UACAGAGGGUGCGAGCGUUAAUCGGAAUUACUGGGCGUAAAGCGCGCGUAGGCGGCUUCGCAAGUCGGGUGUGAAAUCCCCAGGCUUAACCUGGGAACUGCAUUCGAGACUGCGUUGCUAGAGUAUGGGAGAGGGAAGUGGAAUUUCAGGUGUAGCGGUGGAAUGCGUAGAUAUCGGGGGGAAUACCAGUGGCGAAAAGCGGCACCCUAGCAUUAGCCUGACGCUCAUGUGCGAAAGCGUGGGGAGCGAACGGG